UACGUAGGUCCCAAGCGUUAUCCGGAAUUACUGGGCGUAAAGCGUCUGUAGGCGGGUUAGUAAGUUUCAUAUGAAAGACCGGAGCUCAACUCCGUGUUGGUAUGAAAAACUGCUAGCCUAGAAUCAGGGAGAGGUAAGCGGAAUGGUAAGAGUAGAGGUGCAAUUCGUAGAUACUUACCAGAACACCAAAAGCGAAGGCAGCUUACUGGAACUGUAUUGACGCUGAGAGACGAAAGCGUGGGGAGCGAAAAGG
rnacentral:rRNA from 1 species